AGCUUCAAAGACUUCAUUUACAGAGCUCUAGCUUCAAAAGCUUCAUUCACAAGAGCUCUAGCUUCAAAGACUUCAUUUACAGAGCUCUAGUUUCCAAGACUUCAUUUACAGAGCUCUAGAUUCAAAAGCUUCAUUUACAAAAGCUCUAGCUUUAAAAGCUUCAUUUACAGAGCUCUAGCUUCAAAGCUUCACUUGCAAAGCUUCACUUACAAAGCUUCAGUGCAGGGUAUACAAAUACCGCCCCCGAACAACCGCCACUUCGGCCC
rnacentral:lncRNA from 1 species